rnacentral:lncRNA from 1 species
AUAUACGAAUAGACUUUAAUCUUUUAUUUUACCACUGAAAGAUUAAGCCAUUACACAAUACAGGACAGAAGUUAUAUUUCAUAAACCAGUACCUGCCCACACUCAAACAGUGAGGGGAAUCAAAAUCAAGGUUGCACUCUAAUUCUACAUGAUUUUUAAAACCAUGUCUAUCUGACAUUGGUGUGAAGCAACAGAAUCUUUAUCAGAUUCCUCUUUUAAAAGAAAAACCCAAGGAGAGAUGAUCAAGCACAAAUGAUCACUUCAUGCAUUUUAUUGAUAGUCUAUAUUUUAAAUCUGCAGUAUGACAUCUUACAUAGGGAAAAAGCUUCUUCCUAAAAGAUAACUAUUAAUAAUCAAACCAGCUUUAAUAUGACUGACCUUUCAAGGUCUUAUUUUGCUUUAAACAAGUUAAUUUUUAGCAGGUGUAAAGAAAGCACUGUACAAAAA